GGCCUUAAAUUUCCGCAAGGGGGACCCGUGGGGGAGGGAUCCAUUACAGGAGUUAUCCCAACCCCCAAAAAGCCAUGGUGAAAUUAUUUUGGUUGGUGGCCUCGGUGGCAAGUUACCCGGGGACUUCGCGCCCCGGGGGGCCCGCCGGCGUACCACACCAAACUCUUUUAUCUUCGGUUGAUUAUCUGAGCGUCUUAUUUAAUAAGUCAAAACUUUCACCAACGGAUCUCUUGGUUCUGGCAUCGAUGAAGAACGCAGGAAAUGCGAUAAGUAAUGUGAAUUGCAGAAUUCAGUGAAUCAUNGAAUCUUUGAANGCACAUUGCGCCCAUUAGUAUUCUAGUGGGCAUGCCUGUUGAGAGCGACAUUUCAACCCACAAGCCCAGCUUUGUGUUGGGAACUUCCGGCCCCCGUAGCUCCUUAAAGACAUUGGCGGAGUGGCAGAGGUCCUCGUCAGAGAACGUCAGGUCCGGGCGUCGAUGCCCUCCACGACAGAGGUCUCAACUUUCACUUUCAUUACGCGUUGUGGACCUCGGAUCAGGUA
rnacentral:rRNA from 1 species